rnacentral:rRNA from 1 species
CCUACGGGCGGCAGCAGUGGGGGAUAUUGCACAAUGGGGGGAACCCUGAUGCAGCGACGCCGCGUGAGCGAUGGAGUACUUCGGUAUGUAAAGCUCUGUCAGCAGGGAAGAAAAUGACGGUCUCUGACCACGAAGCCCCGGCUAAAUACGUGCCCGCAGCCACGGUAAUACGGAUGGGGCAAGCGUGAUCCGGAUUUACUGGGUGUAACGGGAGCGUAGGCGGCAGGGGAAGCCUCAUGUGAAAGCCUGGGGCUCAACCCCGGGACUGGAUUGGGAACUGCGCUUCUGGAGUGCCGGAGGGGCAGGCGGAAUUCCUAGUGUAGCGGUGAAAUGCGUAGAUAUUAGGAGGAACACCAGUUGCGAAGGCGGCCUGCUGGACGGUGACUGACGCUGAGGCUCGAAAGCGUGGGGAGCAAACAGGAUUAGAUACCCCUGUAGUC